AGAGUGGUCUGGGAAGGUGGGCAGGGGCUGUCCUCCUUCUCGGGGAGUCUGAAUUUGCCUGGGAUCUGGUUCAUUGUGAGACCUUGGGCGGCCAAUAGAGCAGGUGCACAUGGUCCAGUAUUUUUAUAUGGUGCGCACUGAAAAGAUUUUGAAGGGUAUCAGCUCACCAUGUUGUCAGAUAGAGCUACGAUAUAACUUAAUUUACACUGAAUUCCAUGUACUGAUAUAUAAGGUUGGAGAGAGGAGGCACGCCUAAUGAUUCUAGCUCAAAUGCUGUACCUGUUGCUACUGACAGACUUUGUUCCUUAGAGAAGAUAUUAACUGCCAGCUGGCUGUGACAGUUUGUGAACUAACAUUGACAUUUGGGUUGGCACCGUAAGAGUAUUUACAGCUCAGGAGAUAUAUACACAAUCAGACGAUGAUAGAUCCAGGAAUUUUUGAGGCUCUGAAGUGGCUCUUCUUUAUAUUCCAUGAAUAUCACUUUGGAAGGAAUUUAAAUUGACAUGCUUCUUUUAUUUUCUUUUUUUUUUAAUUGACAUGUUUCAACACAGUCACCCAAAGUGGUAAAGCCUCUAGAAAAAUGACAGGAUGGCAAUGAACAAUGUAGAAUUUGGGGCAACUCAAUAAAUACUUUGAAUCUGGUGACACUUUUGCUGAACACUGUCAGAUGGAAGAAAAGUCAGUUGGCAUUCUUGUCUCUCUUCUAAUUUCCCACAAAAUACUGAAGAUGCCACAAUGAAAAAAAUGGAUUUGACCAGGUACUCACGGCUGUAGUCCCAGGGCAGUUUGCCGAAUGGCAUUCACCAGUCAUCCGGUUUGGGAUUAGGACAUCGUCCCAGCAAGAUGGACCCUUUGAGAAAAACAACAUGUAUUUGGUGCACAAAAUGUAACAUAAAUGUACCCCCUAGUACACUUUCGAAAAUCUAUUGAUACUAUAGAAUUAUAAUGAAAGUAAUGUGGAGUCCAACAAUUUUCAAAA